GGUCAACUGCUUAUCGCCCUCAAAAUGAACGGAGCUGUAGAGGCCGCCAACAAGAACAUCAAGAAGAUUCUGAGGAGAAAAAAUGAUUGACAAAGCAGCGGGGUUGGCAUGAAAUGUUGCCCCAAUUAUGCUCUACUGAGUUAUCGAACGACGGUCAGAACAUCAACUGGGGCUACCCCAUACUUGCUAGUAUAGGAACAGAAGCAGUCGUACCUGUUGAAGUCGAGAUACCGUCACUGAGGAUCAUCCAAGAAGCUGAGCUAAGUAAUGCUGAGUGGCUUAGCAAACGGAUUGAUCAGCUAACUUUGAUUGAUGAGAGAGGAUGGUCGCUGUUUGCCAUGGCCAAUUGUAUAGACAGAGAAUGACUCGUGCUUUUCACAAAAAGAGUAAGAGCCAGAAAUUUUGAAGUUGGCCAGUUGGGUUCUUAAGUGUAUUUUUCCUCAUCAAGACGAAUACAAAGGAAAGUUCGCACCAAACUGGCAAGGUCCUUACAUGGUUCGCAAGUACUAUCUGGAGGUGCUUUAGUCUUGUCAGAGAUGGAUGGCGCUGUAUGGCCCAAGCCUAUCAACUCAGAUGUUGUCAAGAGAUAUUACGCGUGAAGUUCGUUUUGCAUUUUCCAUCAUUUACUUGUAAUCUUCUGUUUACUUGUAUUUGUUCGAAUUUGAACUCUUAUCCCUCUUGGAACGAACUACGUCUGACCUGAAUUCUUGAGAACGAGAUACGUAGGCGCCUAUGUCGGCUUCGGUCACCCAUUUACCCCCCUUUAUUAUUUCUUUGGAUUUGAACUACGUUCGACCUGAAUUCUCAAGAAUGAGAUACGUAGGCGGCCUUUGUCGGCCUCGGUCGGUUUCUUUGUAAAUUUUAUUCUUGUUAACCUUUAAGGGAAACUACGUUUGACCUGAUUCCUGCCGCAACGGGAUACGUAGGCGCCACAAGGGCUCGGUCAUAUAUCUCGUAAAUUCUAUUCCCCCCCCCCUACAAUAGAAACUGGGACAGAAUUUUAGAGAGGGACUCAAAAAUUCUCCAGAAGGAACCUUCUCUUCAGCGGAUCAAACUAAAGACAUUUCGAAUUUGCGACUGGGACAGAAUUUUUGAGAAGAUCUCAAAAAUUCCGAGAUCUGUUCGGUUACAAUGGAAAGAUGAGCAAGAUACUAAACUGGGACAGAAAUUUUGAGGAUGGCCUCAAAAUUUCGUCAUGGGACUGCCCUACAAGUCCGGAAUGCCUCUGAAAUUCAUUCAACAAGCGUCGGACUCAAAGAAGCUCGUUAAGCCUGACAUGACAUGACUUGGCAGUGACUUUUUCGAGAUACUAUUUCUUAAAAAUUUCUUGUUUCUCUUAAAAAAUUUCCUUUUAUAUUUCAUCUAUUUUGGCAUAAGAUAUUUUCUUAUCUAUCAAGAGUUGGGAAAUCGGGAAAUCAACCGGAGACAUCAAGACAAGGAGCAAAUAACCGAAGGAUCGACACAGAUCAGUAUGUUUAAAACUGACAAUUUUUCUGUGGAUGCAGGUCUAUAGCUUCGCUUCAAAAUCGGCCGAAUUCUUCCGACUGAUGAAUACGAAGGAGGAAAAACUAUCUCCAAAACCAGUGAUUUUAUUGAAAGCAGGAAUAUCGUUUGCGUCAGGAUGCUUAUGAAUGUGUUUGUUUAUUUCAAACCAUUCUCAACUAUGGGAAAUUUACAAAAUAUCCAGUCAGAUUCAAAGGCGAAUCAAAUGGGAAUCUCAGCGAAGAUUUCGCGAUUUCUAUAGAUAGCGCUAUUUGCAUUGCGUUAUCAAAGCAAGAUGAUUAUUGUCGAUCAAGACCAUGCAUUACCUCAGAAGAGACGGUUACACAAUUAUUAUUUUAUCAUUAUCGAUCAAGUCGAUGUAUUAUUUGGAGAUCGUCUUACCGUUACUAUUCACGGGGGUGAUAUAAAUAUUCAUGCAUCGUGGAAUCAUGCAUCGCGGAAAUCAUGCAUCGCGAGUCAAUAAUCAUGAAUGACGAGAAGAUUUCAUGCCUCGUCAAAAUUUAUACAUCGCGAGAAGAAUUUAUGCCUCGCUGGAAUUCAUGCAUCGCGGAAUCAUGCAUCGCGGAAAUCAUGCAUCGCGAGUCAAUAAUUAUGCAUGACGAGAAGAUUUCAUGCCUCGUCAAAAUUUAUACAUCGCGAGAAGAACUUAUGCCUCGCUGGAAUUCACGCAUCGCGGAAUCAUGCAUCGCGGAAAUCAUGCAUCGCGAGUCAAUAAUCAUGCAUGACGAGAAGAUUUCAUGCCUCGUCAAAAUUUAUACAUCGCGAGAAGAACUUAUGCCUCGGUGGAAUUUAUGCAUCGCGGAAUCAUGCAUCGCGGAAAUCAUGCAUCGCGAGUCAAUAAUUAUGCAUGACGAGAAGAUUUCAUGCCUCGUCAAAAUUUAUACAUCGCGAGAAGAACUUACGCCUCGCUGGAAUUCAUGCAUCGCGGAAUCAUGCAUCGCGGAAAUCAUGCAUCGCGAGUCAAUAAUCAUGCAUGACGAGAAGAUUUCAUGCCUCGUCAAAAUUUAUACAUCGCGAGAAGAAUUUAUGCCUCGCUGGAAUUCAUGCAUCGCGGAAUCAUGCAUAGCGGAAAUCAUGCAUCGCGAGUCAAUAAUCAUGCAUGACGAGAAGAUUUCAUGCCUCGUCAAAAUUUAUACAUCGCGAGAAGAAUUUAUGUCUCACUGGAAUUCGUGCAUCGCGGAAUCAUGCAUCGCGGAAAUCAUGCAUCGCGAGUCAAUAAUUAUGCAUGACGAGAAGAUUUCAUGCCUCGUCAAAAUUUGCACAUCGCAAGAAGAUUUUAUUCUUCGCUGAAAGUUAUGCAUCGCGAGAAGAUUCAUAUCUCGCGGGAAUUUACGUAUCGCGGGAAGAUAUUCAUGCCCGCAAGAGGACGUACUUGGAUAAAGAAAGAGCAAUGCUUAUCCAUUGGCCUCGACUGCAUUCUGUUAUUUCUCAUAAAAGUAAACAUCAAGAAGAGCAUCGAAGAUAGCGACAAAAGAGACAUCAAUAUCGCAUCAACAUUCAUUUAUUUAUUUUAGCAUCAAAUGAAGAUGUACAUUGAAGAUUUUAUUGCAAAGCACAAGGCAUAAGCUUUAUUUGCUGGACGUCAGACUGAUCGAGUCGACGUCAAAUAUGGAGGAGAACAAUGAAGUGUCAACACGGUAAAAAGACACUGUCUCCCAUCCUAAUUGCAUUUUUAAGCUGACGAGUUUUAUCUCACUCUUUGUCGAGAGCAUCCGAAAAGGAUGAAUUCUCCAAAAAAAAAAACCACAGGUGCGGACGACAUCAAAAAGGAUGCAGCACAACGUGGAACUUUUUCUUAGCAGCGAACUGGGACAUAGUCCGAAGAGGAAUGUCAAACUCUUAGGACGCGAGCAGAGGAGCGACUUCCACCACAAUCGAACCACCCUCUCAAGGCGUGUCGGUCUUUCUUUAGAUCUGUCAGUUUCAGUCUAGCAUCCGGAAGUUCCGACUUAUCGGAAGCAAGUUCCCAAUCUGAGUGACAACUCGCCAAGAGCUUUGGAAAUUAUGUCCGUGUAAGUUCUUACCUAUGGAUGUGGAGAGCGCCACAUUCAUAGCUAAGAGGUUACAAGCCUCCUUUUCAUACUCGUUAAUGAGUCACUUGUCCAAAACCGAAGGUUAUCUAGCGUAAUAGAUUUCUUUUUCCACCGAUCGAGUCGAACUACACACAGCCUGAUUCCGACGGUUUACGGAUAUGUAGGCGGAGUCAAUGUUGAAAACUCGGCUGUAUUCCAACAUUCUCUCUCGAAUUCCACUCUCGAGCAUUUCGAUACCUUCAUAAUUCGGUGUCGAGGUGGCUCUUGAUUCCUUCGAAUCGUGCGGCAAGUCAAGCUUAUCGAACUACAAGUGGCCUGAAUUCUAAUAUAGCCUGAGAUAUGUAGGAGACCCAUUUUCAAGGGUUCGGCCAUAAUUCCUAAACUCUUUAUCAAAUUCUUCCUUUAGCAAUUGAACGAGGUUGGUCAAAAUUGGUUUGGUCAAUUUCAUUUUCCUCGAAUUGCUUGCAUCAGUCCGAGUAAAAUGAGGGACAGUUGUUGACACCCAAUUUUUGACCCACGUUGGUAUAAAUUAAUUAUCGAGCUUCGUGAGUGUUUCAAAUUAUUUAAGUUAAUUAGUUUUAUAAAUCUUGCGAAAAUUAAAAUAUAUAUAUAUAUACAUAUAUAUGUAUAUGUAUAUAUGUAUAUCUUAAGUUUAGAAAGUAUUCUAUUAAACUAGUUUACUUUAAAUCACGACUAUAUUUUGAAUCAUUAUUUUAUAAUUUAAAUAAAUUAUGUUACUAAAUGAAUGAACUCGUUAAUGAAUUUACGCCAAAUCCGUUUUUAUCUUAAAUCAAUUGACCAUUUAUCACCAUCAGCCCACACCUCCCCUCUCUUAAUCCGACCCAAAUUCCCUUCAACCCCAACACUUCUAGGCCCAAACGAUCCAGGCCCAAAUUCCUUUCUCAGCCCACAACCCAUUCUAUGAUCCUAACCCAAUUCCCUCUAAUUGUAAAAACCUGACCCAGCCCAUACCUGCCCCGACCCAGUACCCCUUUCCUUCUUCCCUCACCCACGCCAUUUCCCAAAACGGAACAAUUCCCAGAACCCAGAAGAACGCAGAAAAAAAAACGCAGAAAAACAGUACUCCAAAAACGGAAAAUCACCCCUUCACGCCCCGCGUCUCCCUCACGCUCUCUCACUUCCUCUCUUCCUCACCUCGCGUCUCUCCCACGCGAGCUCCCCCUCUCGACAGCGCUACCCAAUACAGAACACCCACUCCAUCUCCAGAAAAACGCAAAAGCUGCAUACGAAAAGCAGCCCAAGCCGCGUUUUUCGACUCCCCACGCGACUUCUCUCUUCACCAACGUCUCCUUCUUCACCCAGCGUACCGUGUGCAUUACUUUCGGCGGAUGGCAGGCCUGCGUUCGCGGCUAUGGCAGACGCGCUAGCCAUCCCUUCCCCUUUUUCCGUUUCCACAAAGGACGAAUUCUUCAGGAAAAGCUGUGGCACCAUUAAUGGAAGAGAUUCAAAUUUUGAAUUGAAAUGGGCCUAGUCACGUUCCCUCCCUCCCUCUUCCGAAACCCUUUUUCCCCUUCUAUUUAGACCCCUCUUCUCCUUCAGAAAAGGGGUUGGAAUUUCGGAGUUGAAAAUCGUUAUAGUUUUGAGUACUGGAGAGAUUUUAAGGGUUGAAAAGUUUUCUGGUUCUUUAAUAUAUAAGAAUAAUCGAGCACUGUUUUGAAAAGUUGAGAAUUUGUUUCGUUUCGCUGUCGUUUUCGUAAGAGCAACAUUGAGAGAGUGAGUUAGGCGACUAAGGAAACUGAAAUCACGAUUCCGUCUCCUUCGCUUGUUGGUUCGUCUUCGAAACGGUUCGGAGCUCAUUCCGGUGUUGCAAUCGCCCCUUUGCUCGUCUUUCCCCGUUCGCUGCGUACAAGGAGGUAAACUUCUUUCCGACUUCAAUCUUUCUGAUGGAUGUUUCGUUUUUUUUUGGGUUUGAAGUGGUAUAUUAGUCCGCUGGCUGAGUGCUGUUUGUAUUCUCGUUUAUUUUUGUGGUUCUCAUCUGUUCGUUGCUUGUAUGAGGCGAGUGAUUGAGUAUGAGACGAUACUGUAGUCGUUUCCAUGUGUUAGGUAUGUCGUUCACCUGAGUUUCUGUCAAUGUAUGUCCAAUGUCGAUGUUUCUGUUCACUCGAAACUGAUUUGAGGAUUAGGUGUUGGGUCCUUCCUCCCGUGUUUUGUGUUUACUUGAAUUUUAAAAGCUUGGCUCUUGGUUUAGUUCUAACUCAUCUACGUAGGUUUUGAAAGCAUGUGAAAAUAUUUGAUUAACGGUUGCCACGACACAGCAGAAUGUUUUUUUUUUACUUUUUUUUUUUGUCAGCUUGCUAUGACUCAAGUCUUCGCUCCCUUCUUUGGUGUUUCACGACUGUUGUUCUUAUGUGUUUUCAUCGUUAUGCUUAGUCAUAAAAUGAUCGUCUGAGCUUAGUUAUUCCCCAUUAUUUGGCCAGGAUAAUAGUUUUAUUUAUAUUGUCCUUGAAGUUCUUUAUGUGUAUUACUUUACCUUAAUCUACCUUUUAAAAGAAAGACAAUGAGAGUCUAAGUUGCUUUGGUUUUUUUUUAUGAGAAUAAUUCUCCUGUGCUGGCUUUUAGUUCCUUUGUCUUGCUGGAAUUUAUUCACUGUUUCCUUAGAAUUUGUCCCCCCUAUAGUAAUCACCCAUGUCUUAUGUUAAAUCAUGUUUAUUACAUUAUUCAAUAUGCUAACUCGUUUCUACUUUAUUGCAUAUAAAAACUCCUCUCGAGUCCCUUUGGGACUUCAUUCUUUGUCUCGCCUUUCGGAAGAGCCAUGAAGGCUCGAAAAAUUCCCAUUGAGUCAAUCCGUCAAGAUAGGCAUAUGAGUCAAAUUCCUUGAAGAUUGGAGAAACUUGAAGAAUGGACUAGAAGAUGUCUUUGGCUUCUUUUAUAUAUUUAGCAUUUUAUUUAUUUUGUAAUGGGCAUAAGCCUUCGCCGUUUCCAUUUCUUUAUAUUUUCUUUUGUAUGUUUAGACUAGGACAGGUGGAAGAUGGGUUAAAAAAAACCCAAAAACAGGUGGGUUCGAGUUUCGGUCAAGGCGAACAGAACCCGAAAACUUGGACCCAAAUCUCUCUCUCUCUAUCUCUCUUUGCUACUUGUUUACGUUUUAAUGUCGUUAGCUUAGGAUCAGAAAACUUCAAACCCCCUUCGAAGCGCCUUCUAUUUUAUCAAAUCUUAAAACUAAAAUGGAAUCUCAAAACAAUAAAUAUUUCAACUCGUAAGUUUGUUUAAAACUCUAAUAUGUUCAAAAUUCAAAUUCUAAGUUCGUUUGAAUUUAAAGAGCUUUAAAAUCUGAAAAUUCGCCUAAGUAAAUUUCUCAUAAGUUUAAAAAUUACAAAGCUAAAAUAAAAAUAGUCAAAUAAGUUAAUCACCGGAAAACCGUAUUAACGGAGUGUUUUAGGUGCCUAACACCUUCCUAAGAUACUAAUAGGAAUCCCGAACCCUUAAAAUGUUUCAAAACAAUUUUUCUGUUUAAGUUGUUUAGAGACGAAGUUUUCUUGAUUUUUCUUAAAAAUUAAGUGGCGACUCCUAAUAGUCGAAAAUAAAACAAACUCUUUUCGAAACAAUCAUUUUUCGAUAAAACAUGUAUAAUGUUAGUCGCGAGUGAUAAUUAUAACAAAUUAUAGCUAUGAUGAGUAAUUAAAUAGUAUAGGUUUGUUUUGUUGCGUAAUUUUUCCUAAUUUGAAAUGAGACAUACGAGAAUAUCUUGUAUAUGAAAUAUUCUAAUAUUACAAUUUUACUUAAAAAAGAUUCGAACUACUCAAAAUAUAUAAUGUUACUUUAGAUAUUCUAUUUGUAAUAAUAAUUUGAAAUUAGUAGGAAACGAGAAUACUACGUUAACUUUGAUUAUUAUUAAAAGGGAAAUUUUUCAAAAUGUCAAUAUUUUAUCAUUUAAGAGGACUCAUUAGCAACAAUUUCAAUAUUUAGUAAAAAUGUCAUUUUAGUUUGUUAUGUAUCUUAUUUAUGUUUUUAUUAUUUAUUUUUAUUUAAAAAAUAUAAUUAUUUAAUAACAAAAAGAAGAAAAUUAAGGGGGGAAUAUUUCAAAAAAAAGGCAAGCAUCCUUAAUUUUCUCAUCAGUUACAUUUUCAAAUAAAAUUUAAAUUUUGUUUUUUUUUCUCCAGAAUUUUUACCUUUUUAAAAUUAUAUUCAUUCCACAAUAUAUUCUAUUUAUAUUUAUUAUAGUUUUUUAUUAGUUUGUAUUCAUUCCAAUAGGUAUGCCGAAUUUAUCUAUAUAGUCAUUUAAGAAAUAUAUUUUUAUUUUAAAUAUGUUUUCCCUAUAUAGUUAUUUUUUUCUUCAAAAAUCCUGUAUGUAUUCAUUUCAAUAUGUAUUUUAUUUGUAUUUCUAUUUAUUCUAGUUUUUAUUUAGAAUUUUGUAUAAUAAUAUAUAAAAUACAAAAAAUUAGUAUGAUGAAAAAGUGAAUGAAAUAUAAAAUUGAAAAGAAAUAAUUGAAUAUUUGGUAUACUAAUUCUUAAAUAAAAUACAUAACUAGUUGACAUACCUUUAGAAUAAAUACAAAUUAGAAAAAAAUGUCAAAUUCAGUUGACAUACCUUUAUUAGUUUGUAUUCAUUCCAAUAUGUAUGUCAAAUAAAAUGUAGCUAUUUAAGAAAUACAUUUGUAUUCGUAUAUAUUUUUCACCGUGUAUUUAUUUUUCUUUUCAAAAUCUUGUUUCCUUUUCUAAGUCGUAUUCAUUCCAAUAUGUCUAUUAUUUGUAUUUGUAUUCGAAUACAAAUAAACUAAUAGAAAGUUGUUCUUCUUAUAAAUAAAAUACAUAACUAGUUGACAUACAUUUGGAUGAAUACAAAUUAGGGACAAAUACAAGAUUCAUAAACCAUGCAACAUGAAAUUUUUAAUAAAUACAAGUAUUGAUAGUAUACAUAGUGAUUUGAAUACAAAUUAAGAAAGCAUACCAAAUUCUAAAAAAGAACUAUAAAUACAAAACAAACUAAUAGAAAAUUGUUCGACAACUAUCUGAUCUUCGUCGUCUUUUUCAAGAUCAUCACGAGUAGACAAAGAUUCUACAUUUGCGUUCUGAAUUUGAGGAAGGUUUUGCACACCAAUGAGUCUUGUAAAUGUUCUUGUCCUCUUUCUUCCCUCAUUUUAGCAGCGAAUCAUACAUUAUACACUAUUUGUUAAGUAAUAAAUAAAUUAAAGUAUGAAAAAUCACCAGAAAUUGAUUGAUUAAGAUGAAUACCUCUAGUAAGCCCCUUGGAUUCAGCCAUUGGAGAGUAAAUCAUAACGGAAAUUGAAAAAUACAAACAACAUUUUUUUAAGAUUUAAACAAAAAUAAAAUUAGAAAAGAAAUAUGAAAAUAGGAUAAAGAUUAGAGAUACCUUAAUCAAAGGGAUUCUUGUUGAUUCAAUUUUGGAUUAAAAAAACAACCAAAAUAUAUGGCAAAAAAAUAUUUGCAACUUCAAUGUUGGAGGAAAAUCAGAAAAGAUAACCAUGAGAGAGAAAAAAAAUUAAAUGAGAGAGAGAAUUAACAAUUUGAAAAGAUAAAUAUGAGAGAGAAUAAUUUUUUUUUUUAAAAAAGAUAUAUAGAAUUAAUUGAAAAAGAGAGAUAAAAUUGGAAGAAAAUUGGGACACAUAAAUUUUUUAAAAUAAUGACAUUUUUGACAUUAUUGCUAAUAUUUAUAAAGUAUAGAUAUGUUUACUAAAUAUGUUAUUUAUUUUGACUAAUUUACUAAUUUUUCCUUAUUAAAAUAUUGCAUAAGUUCUUGCGAAGAAUAGAUGUGAGUGAAAAAUGGCUCUAAUAAUCACCAUUGUCGACAAAGUAAUAUAAAAACAAUUAUGAAUUUUAUGUAUAAAUUCAAAUAUUUUGAUUUAAGUCACUAAUUUUAUCAAAGUCGUAAUAAAGGUUAAAAUAUAAAUUACAUCAUCAGAAUAUUUUGAAAUAAAAAUCAUUAAAGUUAGGAUAAGUAAUUAACUUUAUUUUAAAUUAUGUAAAAUAAUUUAAAUUUGCAUAACUUUAGAGUUAAACGUAAAUUUAAACAUCGUUAUUAUAAAAGUGACACAUAUCCUUAUUUCUUCUGAUAUAAAAUUCCAACCUUUAAUUCAGCUUACCAAGAAACUUACUCAUCUAAAAUCUUUAAUUCUUGCAUUAACAUGAAAAUCUAAUUUAAAAGAACUUGUAUAGUCAUAUUUAUAUCUAUUUAUUUUGCAAGCAUAGAUAAUAUCCAAGUCUGUUUUAAAAAACGUUCAAUAAUACUUUUAUAGAUAUAUCCAAAAAUUUCUCCACUUUUUGAUGCAUCAAAUAGAUAUUAUAUUUCAAAUUUGUUCGAGAAAUUAAUAAAUGAUAAAACAAAAUGAAAAUUCAAAUAAUUUUUCAGCACAUUUACAAAUGAUUAAUUAAAGUUUGCAAAGCAUGCUCAGUAAGAGCCUGUUUGGCUUAGCUUAAAGGCUGGUUAAACUGACUUAAAAGCUGGUUAUUGACUUAUUUAGCUAUUUGACAAUACUCAAAAUAAAUUAUUUUAACUUAAAAAAAACUUAUUUUAAGCUAAAAGUUAAAAGCUGGGGUAGGGGUAUUUUUUUUUAGCUUAUAAGUUGUUUUAAGUUGACCACAUUUUUACCUUUUUGCCCUUAAUAUUUUUAUACAAUCUCCAAAUUACCCACAUAACCCUAACAUCUCUUUCUUCUAUUUUUCCCUUUUCACGUGUGGAUGAUAGACAAUUACUAUUACUAAUGAAUGAAAAUAAAAUAAAUCUUAAGUCUUUCAAGUGAUAUAUUCAAAUUAUAUAUUAUUAAAAUGUAAAAUAAGAUGCACAUAUGACUUAAAUAAAAAUUUAUAUUCCUCUUAUAAAUAAUUUGUGAUAAUAAAGAAAUAUGUGAAUAAUAGACAAUUAUUAUUACCUAUGGAUGAAACUAAAAUAAAAUCUUAAAUCGUUCUUUGAUCUAUUCAAAUUAUAUAUCUUUAAAAUUUAUAAUAAGUUUAUAUUCCUCUUAUAAAUAAUUUGUGAUGAGAAAGAAAUAUGUGAAUGAUAGCAAAAUAUAAUUAUUUAUGGCUGUAAAAUAUAAAAUAAUUAACUUUUAUUAUGUUAACAGCUUUUAAGGAUAUUUUAGACAUUUUGAUUUAAAAAGUUAUUUAUCAGCACUUAUUUGCCAAACACAUCAACAAUUUUUUUUUAACUUCAACACUUUUAUCCAAACGCAUAACUGCUUAUUUUAAAAAUAAGUUUCAGCACUUUCAAAAGUACUUUUUUAAAGCUACUUUUAUUAAGCCCAUCCAAACGGACCCUAAAUAUAUUAUAAGUAUUGAGUUCAUCAUUAUUAAAACUAUGAUACUUGUAAUUCAAAUCACGCUACAAGGCACAAUAAAUCCAAAUAAUAAUUUAUUAUAUAAUUGCUUUGAAAAUAAUAACUGAAUUAAAAAAAUUCAAUCCUCAUAUUACUCAUCGUUCUAACAUUCAUAUUUUUUAUAUGCAUUUAUUUCGAAAUAACAAAGAAGUUCACAAAGUUCAAUGUCUCCCCCAAUAAAUCAAAUAUUUGGAAUGGAAAUUUCUUAUAUUUGAGAUUUAAAAAAUAUAUUUAACAAUAACAAAAUAAACUAGAAGAUGUUAUGGUCAUUUUCAAACAGAGGCCACUAAAGGGAAUAAAUAUGCCUUUAGUGACAUUUUUUGGAAUAAAAACUUUUUUUUUUUUUACUUGAAGGCAUCCAAAGAUCCCCUUCCUAUCCAUAUACUCUUACUCAAAAUUUCAACAAUUACUUUAAGAUAGGAGAGGAUUAUUGAAAAAAUUAGAUCUAGGAUCAAUUGCCUUAAUGAUAUUUAUGCUAAUACUAAAUCAUUUUUGUUAUCGAUAAAAAGAGAAAAUAAAUUUUCUUAUUUCACUGCGAAAUAAGAUAGAACUAAGAAAUUGUAUUUUCCUAGGUAUCAAAAAUAUAGUAAAUAAAAGAAGGAGAAUGCUCAGGUCCGUCUACGUGUGAUUCCUUGGUUCCUAAAACGUGAGGUGAGCUGCUGAUUCUACUCUUGGAGUGACUCAACAUAAUGCUCCCAGAGAUCUAGGAUCAAUUGCCUUAAUGAUAUUUAUGCUAAUACUAAAUCAUUUUUGUUAUCGAUAAAAAGAGAAAAUAAAUUUUCUUACUUCAAGAAUGACUAUAUCAUGACUGUUUCGUGAGUGACAUUUACCCUAAAUAAGCCGACAAGAGAACCAUCUAAUUCCAACCACUCCAAUACCUAGGGGUGUCAAAAGUGAACCCAAACAUAGGUAACCCUUUCAACUCGCCCAGAAUUUUAAGGGUUGGGGCUUAAGAUAAUUUGAAUUGGGUUCAUUUUCAACCCAUUCAAGCUUAAUCCAUUUGAAGAGAAUUCCACCUAAUAUAUAUAUAUAUAUAUAUAUAUAUAUAUAUAUAUUUUAAUUUUGAUUAGUUCCACCUAAUAUUAUACUUGAUAUAUAAUUAUUAAGAGCUAAGCGUAAUCAUUAUUUAUGUACUUUUAUAUGAUAAAUACAUAUAAAAAUAACUCAUACAGAAAUGAAGAAAUAAUAAAAAAUGAGGUAAUACUACUAAUAAUAACUAAAGAUGUUUCUAGAACUAUUUAAGUUUCUUGUUAUCAGUCUUGGUAGAUUUUUGAUUGCAUGAAGUUACAUUUUUACCUUUGAUCAUAAUUCACUUCAUAUAUAGAAAGAUGUUUCUAGAAUUAUUUAUUUUUGAUAGAUUUUUGUUAGAAUAAAACUACAUUUUUGUUCUUGUUCAUCUUUAAUACAAAUUAUCAUCCUCUUCAUUUUUAUUUGUAAAGUUACUUUUGACAUCUUUUUCUUUAAUUUCAAUAUAUAUUAUUAAUUUAUCACACUAAUUUAUUUUCAAGUAUAUUGAUUAUAGCCAAAAAAAAAGAUUGAAAUAAUUAAUUCAUCAUAUUUUUAUAUAAAAAGUAGGAUUUUUUAUAAGCAUAAUGAAUAGAAAAAAUAUUAAUAAUUAAAUUAAAGUAAUAGUAAAAUAGAGUAAUAAUAAAAUGGAUAUAAUUCACAAAAGAAAAUAAAAAGAAAGUGAAGUAAUGAUAAAAUAACUUAAUGGUAAUAGCAAUAACUUAAGAUAUUUCUAAAACUAUUAAUUUUUUUGUUAUCAUUCUUGGUAGAUUUAUGUUAGCGUGAAAUUACAUUUUUGCCCUUGAUCAUUAUUCACUUCAUAUAUGAAAAGAUAAUUCUAGAAUUAUUUAUUAUCUUUCUUCAUAGAUUUUGUUAGCAUGAAAUUAUAUUUUUGCUCUUAGUCGUCCUCCCACUUUACUCUUCUAUAUAAUAGACUAGAUAUGAAAGGGCCCGUUAACGGGCCCAAUAUUUCAAUCUUAAAUUUAUCAUUUCAUGAUUAAAUAUUAAAUGCAUAUCUACGUCGCGGACUUACUCCCAUACAAUGUUUUCUUGACCGUUCAUCACGAUUAACUAUCUAAAAUCAUUUAAUCAUAAUGAUAUCUUUCCUAUCACAAAUAAUAACCUUGAAUUCAUAAUUCAAAUUCAAGGUAGAGCUAAGAGUUAAGUCUUGAGAUUUCUUUCGAAUCUUUUUUAGAAAGUCUCUUUGAGUCUUUUGAGGAGUCUUCUUCAAUUUCUAAUAACUUGUUUCAAGACUCGAUAAGUGAGUAUGAGAAUGAUAAAAAUGUAUUCAUGAGUCUACAUUAUCAUCGAGAUCCUUUAUAUCAUAAAUCAUAACUCUUUAAUUCAUAAUUCAAAUUCAAGAAAGAACUAAGAGGAGAGUUCAAGCAAGUCUUUAAGUUCAGUUGUGAAUCCUUUGAGAUCAACUAUUGAUUAGGGCUAAGUUUUGAUGAAGUAUGAAAAUGAGAAAAAUCAUAUACAUGAAUUCCAUAUUGUUAUUUAGAUCCUCAAGUCGAGUCGUUCAUGCCCAUGAAUUCGACAUGAACUUCAUAAGUUGAGUAUCUUUGAGAACAGUAGUAUCUUCAAGGUCUAAGUCUUGAGUAUUGAGUUCCUAAUCAUUUAGAGAUUAUAUUCCUAAUUAUGGGGCUACUACAUGUUACCCACGGAGGUCCUAGAAUUGAGAAAUUCAUGCCUAUACAUUACAACAAAUUCGAUUAUCAGGAACAAAUAAUUUCGUCAUUUAUAAAUCAUAAUUCGUCACUAAAAGUAUACAAAGACGAUUUAGUUUUUCGUUGCUGAAAAUAUUAUAUAAACUACAAAAAAAAAAAAAGAUCAUCCCCAAAUCAUUAAACAGCUGUGACAAAUUUAUUUGUCGUAAAAAGUACGUAUACUUUUUUUAGUUAAUAGUAUAUUUUAUCACUAAAAAGGUUAUACUACCGAUAAAAUUAUAUUGCCCCUAGUUAUUUUACUUCAACCAGUGAUAAAAUCAAUUGUCUCUAUAGUUAAAUGUAUUUCGUAGUUGAAUAAAAUCUAAUUUCACCACUAAUGAUUAUAUUUUAUACACAAAAAGUUAUUUUGUUGUUUUAAUGUAUUAGGGAUAAAUUUAUCAUUUCAAAAAAGUUUAUUUUCCUAUGAUAUAUAUAUAUAUAUAACCAUCAAAGAAUAUAGUGCAUCACCAUUAAGUGAUAUUGCUUCUCUCUUUCAAAUAUCUUGAUUUUGAGUUUUGGAUAUUAAAAAAUUUUUUAAUAGGAACGCUAUAUCCGAAUAGUAACGCAAAGUAUAAUUAAUCGAAUUUUCAUAUGAAUAUUGCAUAAUUAUUAUAAUUACUACUAGGAAUUUGCUAUUUUUGUCAUGUCUUUCUAAAUAGUAACCAACUUAAAUUUAUUUACUUCUCUGACCAAUAUAUUUAAAACUCUAACCAAAGAACUAUUAUUAUAAAUUCAGAUAAUGCACAAGUACCCCCUCAACCUAUGCCCCAAAUCACAGAGACACACUUAUACUAUACUAAAGUCCUAUUACCCCCCCCCCCCCGAACUUAUUUUAUAAGUAAUUUUCUAUCCCUUUUUAGCCUACGUGGCACUAGUUUGAAAAAAAGUCAACCAUCGUUGGGCCCACAAGAUAGUGUCAUGUAGGUCGAAAAGGGGUAAAAUAUUAUUAAUAAAAUAAGUUCAGGAGGGUAAUAGGACCUUAGUAUAGUAUAAGUGUGUCUCUGAGAUUUCAGGCAUAGAUUGAGGGGGUGCUUGGGCAUUAUCUCUUAUAAAUUUGGUAAGACUCUUAGUUUACUUUGAUUUCAUUUAGUUUAUCUAUCUAUCAAUUUUAUUUAUCAUUUUUUAUUGUAAUGCUCCCUAAUUAAAAUAUUUUUUAUCAUUAUUUGAUACAUUUUAAAUCAUAUUUAUUUUAGUGCAAAAAGAAAAUGUGUUAAUGAAACAUAAUAAUCUAAUAAGUACUCUUCUAAAAAAAAUGGGUCCCACAAUUUUAGAUAGACACAUGAUCAUUAUAAUCACAAUUUUAUAUUACCUUCAAAAAUAAGAUUAUUUACAACUUUGUCAUUGAUCGUCCCUCACUUCACUCUUCUAUAUAGUAUAUAUAAAUAUAAAUAUAAAUAUAAAAAAAAUAUAAUAAGGGAAAUAGUUAGACAUAAAAGAGUUGAGUUGUGUAACAUUCUGCAACUUCAAGACAAAGAUUCGUACCGUCCUCAGUAUGUGUAUAGGUUAAAUCAGAUGAUUUCUAAGUUGUACACAUAUGUUAAGGUCCUUUACUGAGUAAAUUAAGUGUAUAAGAUGUGUUUUAGAAUCAUAAGGUACCUCAAACACUAAGUUAAGUUCAAAGCAUUCCUAUCGACUAAGUUUUCACAUGAACUUAUAUUAAGGUUAACUUAAAAGAAUCAUAUCUAUCAAAAUAUAAUUAAUUAGAAGUCUCAUGACGAUCAAAUUGAAGGUCUUUGAGUCUUCUUUCCAACACCUUCAAGUAUACCCCAUUUCAAGUUCGGAAUAAAUAGUUAUGACUAUUUUAUCAUAGACUGAACCAAAACAGUAUUUUCAAAAUCAGUGCCUACGAACCUCAUCUACGGGUCAUAGACUGAAGUACAAUCCAUACUGUUUACUCGAAAUCAAAUGUCUCUCAACUGAGGUCUCCGUCCAUAUGGAGCUAUAUAAGGUAAGGUGAUGGGAAUUUGGGUUUCAGGCCCAUUUAAGUUGAAGUUGAACUUCUCUUCUGCUUUGUUGAACUUUAGGCCUUUAGCCCAAAUAUUAGGUUCCAUUUGAUGAGGCUGACUCGAAAAUGAUUAUAUGUCUGGACUUUUAAACUCAAUACAAGAUGGACAACAGAAGAAGAGAAUCCAUUGGACUCGUGCCAGCAGUUUUAAAAGGCGGAGGCGCGAAACUUACUCUACAAUACGGUGCGAGGCGUAAGAUUCGAGAUACGAGGCAUAAGUUCCAUGAAUCUAUACUCUACAAUACGGUGCGAGGCGUAAGAUUCGAGAUACGAGGCAUAAGUUCCAUGAAUCUAUCGGGUAAUAUCAUGUAUAGUCAGUUUUAUAGUUUUAUUAUUAAUAAAAUAAGCAAAAAUAAAUCUUUCAAUUAUUUUACAAAUAAUUUUUUUAUAAAUAAACUGUAAUAUACAUAUAAAUAUAUUUAUUUUAGAUCAGUAUUAAUAAUUAAUAAUGAAGAAAAAAAGUAUUAUAAUUAUUAUUUGACAGAUAUCAUUACACCAAUUUAUAUUUCUACGUCCAGGACUUACGUUUUUAUGCUUAAGGCUUACGGCUCAAAUUUUAGAGCUUACGUCUUAUGGAUCUAUGUUUUAAAGUUACGUCACAUAGCGUUUUUGGUACGCCUCACCUUGAAACUUGCCCUGGACCUCACCUUAAAAACGUUUUUGAAAACACUGCGGUGCCAGGUUUCAUAUGAAAAAAAUAUAUAGAAAAAUUUUCGUACAGAUAGUCACUAUAAUAAAGUUAUUUAUGUUCUAUAACUAUAAUUUGCAUAUUCAUAUAUUAUAAUUAUUAUUUAAAUUGUCUCAUUUGUAUAAUUUAUGAAUUGAAAAUUAUGUGACUAGCAGAAUCUGGAAGUGUUUUAGUUCUGUAACAGGUAUUCAUAGGAUUGAAAAUUGUGGGAUCUUGAUCCUACCAAUUCUACGUGGGACUACGAGAAUUUCAGCUCUUCUUGGUCGUCAAAAUUGGGUCAGGUUUUGGUUAAUUACGAAUGACAUAAAUUUUAGGUUUAACGAGUAUAAAAAUAAUAUUAGCGUUUUAUAAUAUAAGCUUGUGUUUCAUAGAAAAUUAUGGGGCAUCAGAUUUGUAUAAAAAUCGUAGGUAAUUUUGAUUUCUAUAAAAGUGUAAGCAUCUUAUUCACAUAAAUCACAACGAUUUGUAUAAUCAGGCAUUUGUGUCUAUGAAAAUUGUAUUUGUAUAUGUAUAUGUUCUUUGUGUUUGUAUAUCUCCAUAAAAUUUGAAUCCAUAUACAACUGAAUCGAGUUAAAACAGUUAUAUUUGUAUAUCAAAUCUCUCUCUCGUUUUAUACAAACACAAAAUAUACAUUGUAUUUUGUAUUAUUUGUGUUUGUAUAAACGAGAAAGAGAGAAAGACAAAUGAGAAAACUGGACAGGAAAAGAUUUGUAUUUAUAAUUAUAAGUGUAUAUGACGAAGAGAUAUGUAUUUUUAUAUACAGUUUUCUCUCGCUUUUUGUACAAACGCAAAUACAAUUUAUACAUUUGUUUGUAUAAAGUGAGAGAGACGAGGAGAGUGGUGACCGAGAUUUAUGGGAAGAGAGGCGAAUGACUGAGUGUUUGUUACGGAAUAGAAUUAAAUGAAAUUGUGGUUAUAACACUUAAUUUAAACUAAUAAUUUGCUAUUUUACUGUACAAUUUUCCGAAUUAAAUACCUAAUAAAACAUUCUCAAUUUUAACAAAGUAAAUAAUUAUAUAAAAUUAAAUUAAUUGAUUUAAAGAAAAUAAAUCACACUUUACAUUGGACACUUUUUUUUAUGAAAUGAUUUCUUGAACCAAAUGUUAAAAAUUAUGCAAAAAAAAAAAUUAAAAAAAUAAAAAUAUAUACAAACCUUUUAUCCAAAAAAAUAAAAAUAAUGAAAUUCUCUUCACUGUAUCAAAAUACUUUAAUUUUUAGUAUUUUUAUGAUAAACAGUUUCUUUAAUUUUUAAUAUUUUUAUGAUUUAACAAGAUCUCAAGCACUUGUUAAGAUUUUUGAAUAACUUUGAUCCAUCGAAGCAAUUACAAUUACUUUCCGUUGAAGCUGCGAUUUUUUUAGUCCACUUGUAUUUUUAUUGGGUAUUUACACCAAACUAAUACAAUUAUUAUUAUUAAGUAAUUUAAUAAAGUAAAAUAGAUAUUAAUUAAUUAAGAUUAAAUAAAAUAAAUUGUAAAUUUAAUACAUGACGUGCAUAUAAUGAACUGGUAUUAACACCCGAUGCUAAUAAGUUUUACCCCUUCCACCCCGACAUAUAACAAAAUCUUUGUUUGUACAUUUUUUCGACAAUAUAUCUCAUAAUUCUGAAAACUGAUAUGACUUAUUUUUGUUUACCAAAAUUUUGAUAUAUUUACUUUAAAGUUAGGGACAUGAUCAUGUUUUAUGUUUUUAGACAUUGAUGUCUCAUAUGAAUACUUUUUUAUUUUAUUUUUUAUUUUUUAUUUUUUAUUUUUUAUGCUGUAUGAGAAAUGACCAAGUUAUGUUAUGUGAGUGGAUUUUUGGUUGCCAUCGAUUCUAUAUUAGUCAAUGUUUGCUUAAAAACAAUACAUAUGCAUGUGCUUAAUUAGGUAUUGUUCAUGUUUUGAUUUUUUUUUUUUUUUGCAAGCUAAGUUUAUCGUGUUCACAUGUUAGUAAGGUAUGAUACAUGUUGAGAAAGAAAACAAAUUGAGAAUUCGUGAACUGCUAAAACUGUUCAUGUUUAGACGUAUUCUAAAUUUAUCAAAUAUAUCUACAUGUAUUGGUGUAAAAACACCAAUGAACGUAAUAUUUUUAUCUUGAAUAAACAAAAAAUAAUAUACCUCUUUAUAUGAAAAUUUCAUGCAUAUUUUAUUCGAUUUCUAUACAACCAAAAUAAAUAACGGAUUACAAAAAUAUAGUGUAUAUUUUCUAUAUGAAAACAAGUAUUUUUUUAUUAAAAAAAUUGAAAAAGUAAUUGACUAGUAUUUUAAUACCUAGUUCAUACGUUUUUCUAAAAAAAGGUUUGACACCAAUUUACAAGCUAAGUUAGCUUGUCCACAUGUUUUUUAGAAAAUAUUAACUUUUUGUAUUUCUUUGGUUUCCAAUGAAUUAGAGAAAAUUUGUGGAAACGAAUAAACAUGGCAUGUUAAGUCAAAAAAUAUUGAUGAUAAUAUUUUAUAUUUGAGGUUACAUUGCUGAUGAGACAUAUAAACUAGUGGAUACGUUUUGAAAAUACUUGGUGAUCAUUCAAAUGGUUAUAAAAAAUCACUUGUAGCUUGAAAUAUUUAAACAAAUUAAAUAGAAAGGUUAAAAUGAUUUAGCAACUCUCAUUUGAAUUCACCUAUGUUUUAAAAGAAUUCGAUGAAAUUAAAUAACUUAAAUUUAAAUUUUGUAUUUGUGUUAAACAUUUAUAAAUAUCAAUAAAAUUAAGAUUUGUUUCUAUCUGAAUAUAGAUUUUAAACUUAAAACUUAAAAUUUUGAGUGUUUUUUGAGUGGAUGUCUCAAAACUGGUAUAGGCCAUUUUUUAUAAAUUGUUUAAUUUAAAUUUAUAAUAAACAAAUAUUUAAAGAUAAAUUUUUAAAAAACGUUAGGUAGAGUAAUACAAUGCAAGAAAGGAUAUUUUAUUUUGUAUAUAUAUAAAUGAUGAGAAAACCAUUGUCCUCAAGUUUUAAUUGGGAAUAUGCACAUGUCCCUCCCCCCAUUUCGUUUGACACUUGCAAUUCCACAUCAUACACACGUCGAGUUUGCAUUGUGCAAUAGAAAGAUUAAAAGGCUAGCAACAUUUUACGCCCCACAAUCACUUGUCAACAUUGAGUAACGCAGAAGCGGAGCUAGGUUGUGUUAUGGAUUCAGACGAACUCACUAAAUAAUUUAUAUUUUAUAUUUAUAUUAGAAAACUAAAAAAAUUAUAUAUAUUAACUUGUAAAUUUUGAAACAAAUUAGUUUGAAAUCCUCAAAAAAUUUUAAUUUUAACUCUGUCUCUAAAGUAUCAGGACACUUGUGGCCUCGUAGACUUUUGCACUAUUCCCACAAUAUUGGUAAAGAUUAAUAUUGGUUGCACUAUUUAUUUCUUGUCAAUUGUCUUUUUGAGAUAUAUAUACUUGUAGAAAUAUGAUAGGCUAUUAACUGUUUGUGAUUGAGUUUACGAUAAAUAUCAUGAGACGAUCUAGUUAGAACGAUCGCUAUUAAAAGCAAUAAAAACAUAAGCCAAAGGGCAAGGCCGCAAGGGUAUAUAUAGUAGUUGGCCAGUGCAUCGACUACUUGGUUUUUUAUGUUUGAUUGAUCAAACUUUUAGAAAAUAUUUUUGAUGUCGGAGGCUAUAUAUAGUAGGCGUCUGGUCAUUCGAUAUCAUAUUACGAUAUAAUAUCGUGGGAUGGAAUCAGCGUUUGAACAUGCGAUUUUACGUCGAUUUCAUCUCGUGAUUUCAUAUCAUGAGAUGUGAUUUCAUAUUCUCCAAAAACCAUGAUAUGGAAUUAUCAUAUCAUGAUUUGGGAUAUUAAUACAAAAAUUAAUCCACAAGUUUAUACUUUAUUAAAACGACCCCACAUUUAUAUCUACUAACAAUUUAUUUCACAUGUAAAUAUAAUUUAUAAUCACAUCAUUACUUUUAUAAAAUUUAUUAUUCUCACCGACAUAAAAUUUAUUAUUCUCACAAACAUAUAGUCACUUUAACUCACACUUUACAAUUGUUGUGUUUCAUUUUUACUCAAAUAUAUUGAUUAGAAGUGAAAGUUAGAUUGUAACAAUUACUUAAGUGGAGAACAAAUAUCUUUGUAAUAAUUUAUUAUGCGAUUUUAUAAUUUUUUGUUUAUUUGAUAAGAUUGAAUAAAUAAUUGGGGCUAUUUUAAUAGUUUUAGAACUUAUGAGAUUUAUAUGUUUAUGACAAAAUAUACAAGACCAAAAUUUCAUAUCGUAUAUCCAAACAAAACUUUAAUUUCAUCUCAUGCUACUAUAUCGCAUGGCCAAACGGCCCAUAAUAUAUAUUGAUAUAAACUAAUUCUGAGGAGAGGAUAUUUCGGUCUUUUCAUUAUCUAGUUAGAAUAUUAGAAGUUGUUAAGAUUGUGUUAGUAGAUGAGUUGUCACUUGGUAGAUGGUUAGGAAGAUUAGGCAAAUAAACCCACAAUGCAAACUAUGAUGUAAACAUUUUUUAUCUAUUCAAAUAUUCAAUAUACAUCUUCUCGAUUGUUCUAUAUCUCAUUCUCAUAAAUAGAGGAUUUAGAGAUUAUUGUUGCCAUGCUAUAUGUAGCAAUAAUAAUAAAUAAUAGCAUUUAUAAUCAACACUCUAUAUUAAUGUUUGAAUAUAAUGAUAAUAACUCAAUUAUCGUUAAAAAAAAAAGUUUAUUGUAUUGUUAUAUGGAUUAUGAAUUACCUCAAAUUAAUUGAUUGUGUUGCGCCUUUCAUUUUUACCCAUAUAUAACAUAAUUUAUUAUUUUUAUAACACCUCAGCUUAAGAUAAGAACUUUCAAAUCGGCAAAAUGCAGGAGAUCUAGAGAUAUAUGUUGUGUAUAUAAGUAGGUCUUACCAACUAAUGAUGUGUUCUCGAGUUGUGCAAUCCUAAGUCCUAAAGCAGACAAUAUCACCGAAUACGAUUUUUCACUUAGGUAUUCAUGAAAUAGGGUAUAUGAGGUGAAAUGUCACGUUUGUUUUCAAUGAGACUACUAAUUUGGACCUACAAAUAUAAAUGGGAUCGAGCUACUUCACAUUAUUGAUUUCUUAGAUGCCCAUAUGUCCCAUUCCCUUAAUGAGAAAAAAGAUAAGAAGAUAAAAAUGUGGAUAUAUAUAUUCCAACUUUCAAUCUUUUUUUUUCUUCAAAAUAUUAAGUAACUUAAGUUUGAAUUUAUUAUGAUAAAGAAAAGUUGGUGCAAUGAUAUUUCACUCUCACUCUUUGAAAUAAUAUUGAGUAGAAAAAGGAAAUAUGAAAGGGAAAUAAAGUAGGAAAACCAAGGAACAAGAGUGGAAGGCAUUGGAAUUUAAUUUGGAUAUGCAAAAUUUUGGCCCCAAAAAGGUGGGAGCCACAGAGGCAUAUGUUCAAAGUUCAAGUGGCAGCCCAAUGAAAGAUGCCAUUUUUAAUUGAUAAUUCAUGAAAGAGACUCCAAUCAAUUUUGUAUGAGUGAUUGGUCGUUAGAGUUAUGAAUGUAUUAUAUAAAAAAAGUUACGUUAAUUUUAGGAGAAAUAAUGUAUGAAUAAGUAUAUGCAUAUUGAUUAAUUAGUUAAUAUAAUUUGAAUAUUUUACAAUUCGCUACUAACAUUUAAUGCUAAUUAUGUAGAUUUUAAUUUGAAUUUGUAUAAGUGUCACAUUUAUGUAAUUCAUCAUUUAUAAAACAAAUUUGAUUUGUAUUUGUAUAUGAUGCCACGACAGACAAAUUAUAGAAAUACACAUUUUUUGUUUCAUUUAUUUCCAUUAUCCUCUAUUACUUUUAAAAAUCUCCAAAAUUUCUUAUUUCUUUAAUGUAUCCAAUCUAGUUUUUAAUGAAUUUGAGAUAAUAUUUAAUGUAUCUGAACUACAUAUUUUAAUGUAUCUGAACUUCAAUUAUUAUAUCCAAUUUUUUAAACUUUUAAGGGUUUAAUAUAACUAAAAAUUUAUUAGGAAUAUAUUAUAAUUUCAUAUUAAAACUAUGAAAUUUAAAUAGUUUAUCCUUUAACCUUUUGAUUUCAAGUUAAGAUAUUCAAAAUAAUCCUUCGAUUAGUUGCGGUCCCAAAGCCAUCUUUCAACUUUUCAUUACUUUACUGAAUUAUUAUUAUUAUUAUUAUUAUUAUUAUUAUUAUUAUUAUUAUUAUUAUUAUUAUUCAAAAUAUCAUUGUUAUUAUUAUAGGGCUAAAAUAGUCACGGGACAUGAUAUAUAUAAGCUUUGAUUAAGUCUUUACCAACCCCAUUUCCCUGCCCUCCACACAAGCCAUUAUAUUCCUUUCCAAGCUUAUGGGAUAGGACAUUAUUGGCAGUGGCUUAAAGGGACCACAUUCACAUUGGUCACACCCAAUUGUAGAUAUUGGACUAACAUUGUGGUAUGGGAUCUCAAUUUCUACAUUUGAUUAAUACCUCAUUCUGGCUUAAUCGUGUUUAUGCGGAUAUAAUUUCGUUGAUUCAUUGAUUUUUUUUUUUAAGGUGAUUUUGUAAGAUUAAAUACUUUAAUACAUAAUAUUCGGAUCUUAAAUACGAUAAUUAUACAUAGCGAUUGUUAAGGCAAAUAUCUGAUGUAAACAACAUCAUCAUAGAAAUAAGAACAGAAGUGUUAGUUGUUAAACAAUUUUCAGCGAUGGAAAUAUUGUAGAGAAUAUGUGGUAACCCUAAUGGGUGGAAGGAGGAUUAAUUUAUAUAAAAGUUAUGACUUAAUCGGGUACAUUCAUCAAGUAAUCAAUGUACGGAUGACGAGAUCUAUUCAUCUUAUAUAUUAUUUAUGGUAUUACUUGAAUCACAAGUAAACUUGGGUCAUAAUUAAGAAAGAAUUAAUAAUAAUUCUUAUAUAUUUGCAUUGAUCUCCGAGAAAAGAUUUGUGGAUCUACUUGAAAUAUUUAAUUGUCAAAAAGAAUCUGAUAUAUUUUGAUACUCAUAUUCGAAAUUUCUUUGAAAAAACAAUAUUUGAUGAAUAAUCAAGAGUUUAUGAGAUAUUUGAGAUAUCUCGAAGGAAAUAUAAUUAUACCUCUAAGAUAAAAUUUGGAAUGGAAUUUCCUACAAUAAUCCUAGUUGAAAUUGAAUUGUCUUGAUAAGAACUAAAAUUACAUCUCCUAAUUAAAUAUACAAGGAUAGAGAAGACAUUGACAUAGUAAAAGACAAGAACUAGGAUACUUUACCAUCCACCAAAGAAAUAAAAAAAUAUAGAAAAUGUAUUUUUCUUAAAUAAUGUGAAAUAUUUAUAGUUUCUUAAAUACUCUCCAUAUGCUGCCAGAUUCGGCCAGCCAAUCAUAUUUCAACAACUGUCAGCCCUGCAAUUUCAAUCUCUUAUUGCAAAGAAAAUAGAUGACAAAAAAAAAUGUCGUAUUCUUUGUGUAUAUAGUCAAAAUUUGAAAAAUAUUAUAAAAGCCUAAGUCUUAGUCAUACAGAAAUUUACAAUUUGACCAGCAAAUAUAUAUUUACUUCUAGUAAUUAAUGUUCUCUCUUACUCAUAAUAUGGUGUAUAAUUAAGAUUAAAUAAAUAAAUAAAAAAUUAGACAUCAACUUGUAUUAUGUUAUAUGUUAAGCUUUAACUUUAUUUGAUUAUAAGUUACAAAUACAACUCCAAUAUUAUUAUGUUGUUUGUGUGUAUAUAAUUUCUACUUGAUCCUUGUAUCUUUAAAGAGAAUAUUCUAUAUCAUAUGAUAAUUUAGCUUCUAUAAGAUAUAUAUAUAUAUAUAGUAAUAUAAGAAUUACAAUACGCAACGUCAUUGACAAAAGGAAUCGUCCAAAAUCCAUCACAGUAAUUAAGGAAUCUCUGUUCAAAUUUGUAAUGAUCAUGAAUCCAACAUAGCCAGGGCAUGGAGCUAUUCGUUUUCACCUACCCACAUUCCUAGGUGAACAAGUAUAAUAAAAUACUGUUAAUUAUUAUGAGGGACGGGCUAGCCUUUGAAAUAUGAGUUCACUCGAAGUCAAUAACUUUAAGCUUCGAGACCUGGCUUCGCCUUUGCGGCUACCAUAAUGAAAUCAAUUCCUGGCCCAACCCAAUGACAUAUUCAUAGAAUAUACUUUGUUUAGAUAAUUAGAGUGGUAGCUUUCUGUUUGAUAAAAUUGUAAUCCUAUCCUUACAUAAUGGUUAAGGUGCAGGAUGCUAAAUCCAUUCCUCUUCCACUUUCUACAGUAUAUACUGUUAAUGGAAUAUUGCUAUUGUAUGUAAAUGCCUAUCACCAAAAUUUCUUGUGGUCGAAUGUAUAAAAUUUCUUUCGAUUUCAAGCAUUUAAAAGUUUCUCUAGUUAAAUGGACUAGAUGUAACUCCAUACUGAAUUAAUCAAAUCAAUAUAUAUCUGAUCACCAUCAAAUAAUUAAAGAAGAAGAUGUAAAUCUCGAUAUAAUUCUAAUCCAAUGACCUAAGAAAUUUAGUAAUAUGAUGUUAUAUCAGCCAUAUGAUAGUAAAGUUUACUUUGAAAUACAAAUUCGUAAUCUAGUAACCAAAAUGCUAUUAAUUGUGAUGACAAUUCAACCAUUUUGGACACCACUUGUUUGAACUUUGAAAGAGAAAAAAAGAAAAAUGAAAUCUUAAUUAAAUUAACAAGAGCCCCAACCAAUAUUGGAAUCUUAGGUGCGUGGGUCUCUUUCUGGGUUUUUCUAACCCGACCCGACCCGACCCGGUCUUAUUUUCCUCUUAUCUUCUCCCAUUCCCAAAAACAAAAAAAAAACUCUAUAAAUAAGUGGUAAAGGUAACCUUACUUAGGCUUGAACAACCAACUAAGGCCUCUUCAAAACCCCUUAAAUUAUAACUUAUAAUAUCUCCAAUACUUGCAAAAUACAAAGGAAAAAAAAAUGGUUAGUCCAUCCAUUAAUUCCCAUAAUUUUCCUCUAAAAUUCCUUUGUAGCUAUGGUGGCAAGAUUAUCCCCCGUCAAACCGAUGGAAAACUCCGGUAUUAUGGUGGCGAAACUCGUGUCCUCUCCGUUGAUCGUUCCAUUUCAUUCACAGGUUGUUAUUUAUUUCAUUCCUAUGAUUCAUAAUUUAUGCUCCAUUGAUUUAAUUCUAUAUAUGUAUGUUACAUUUUUUAUUAAUUUAGAUAUACCAAUUUUUUUUUCAGAACUAUUAGUGAAGCUAGGGGAGAUGUGUGGAUCGUCAGUGAGUUUAAGAUGUCAGUUACCAAACGAAGAUCUAGAUGCUCUUGUAUCGAUAACAUCUGACGAAGAUUUAGCCAAUUUAAUCGAAGAAUAUGAUCGUGUUUCAAAAAUAUCAUCGUUUCUCAAGAUGAGGGCUUUUUUAUAUCCACCAAAAUCCACAAAAAAAGUUGUAUCUCCUACACCUUCUAUUGCUUCUACCUCAUCUACCAAUAGUACCACUAUCAGCAACCCUGAUGUCACGUCAUCACCAAGUUCAUUUUGUUCAACCGUUACUAGCCCUCCUACAUCAACGAGGCAUCAUGAUUGUCCAAGACCAUAUAAGAAAAUGGCACGAAAUUCUUUAGAUGAAACAAUUAGCGGACGCAUACGUCAUAUUAGAACAAGAUCGUCACCGGUGAUGUUUCCUAUUUGUCAUGAGAAAGUCACGGCCAAGAUUCCUCAAUAUGCUUAUCAUCAUAGUCAUGGGAAUAAUAGUAGACAUAUUUAUUUGAUUCACCACGGCAACCAAUAUUGGCAAUAACAUUUGAUAUUUUCAAUGGACAAGGGCAAUAUUGGAACAUAUAUAUACUUUUUAUAUAGAGAAAAAAAAGAAAACCCCAUCAAGAAAAAAAAAAAGAGGAUGAUAUAUAUAUAUAUAUUCUUAUGUAAGAAGAGAGUGUAUAUGUCAAUAACAAAUUGGUAGUUUUUGUGUCAUAUAUAUUGAGGGUCCAAUUUUGUUUUUUAAUAAUUUGUCAUUGAUCUAUAGUACCAUGGAUGGAUAUUCACCACGUUCAAUAUCUUUUUAUUAAAAAAAAUAUUUUUUUAUAGUUAUAAUCUUGUUAAUUAGCAAUUUCCAAUCGCUAAAAAUGAGUCCUAUAUCAUAUUUGCUUCCCCCUCUAAAUCUUUUUUCUGUAUUUGUCUAUCAUACUCGUUGAUACUAUUUAUUUUUCAUGUUCAUAAUUUUAUCCUUUCAUUUUUUGGUGUUAGUAUAUUGUAUCAUGAUGUGCAAUUAUAUCACGUCUCUUUUUUUGGUGCUAAGUUUUAAUUGUGUACUGCAGGUAUAUGAUGAUGAAAUCAAGUGAAACUCUCUUUCAUUUAGACGCAAAAUUUUACUAACCUCAAGAUGGGAAUUCAGUGGUCAGAGUCAUUUGGUCCGAAUGCUACCUGAAGAAGAGUUGUACCUAGGUAAUUAUUAUAUGUCUUCGUGUUUAUUUUUUAAAUCAAAGUCGAUAUAAAUAUUUGAAAACUUCUACUCAUAAUUAAAGUGUUCUUUAUCAAAGACGAGUUCAUUCUUAAGCCUUGAAAUUGAUAACUCUAAUUAAAAAUGAAAAAAUACUUAUUCACUGAAUCACUAAAUUUUUGUUCGAGUAUAUGCAAAAUAACUACUAUAAAUGCUCCACAUGGUUUCUAUUUUAAUGUCAAACUAUAAAAACUUUGACUAACAUUUUAAGAUGUAUUUUUUCAUCAUAUUAAUACGUAAAUUGUAAUUUAGAGUACUUUCCAUAUAGUUUUAGACUGUUUAAUUAUUUUUUUUAAAUUUCGAAUUAAUAUGAUCUAAUUUAAUUUUAAAAAUUAAUCAAAUUGACUUUCGAAUAGCGUAACAUAAUAAAUAUUGUCAGACGGACGGAGUAAAAGGCAGUAAAGAGUUUUUAACUUCUAUGAAUUGAUCAUUUUAAAGAAGUUCGUUAUCUUUUUUAAAAAUUUUAAACUAUAUGGCUCGUACAAUUAUUGCCACAAAAGUGCAUACUUGUGAUAAUUAAAUCGAUAACGACGUACAUACAAGUUUAAUACAAUAUUUGCCUAUAAUACGAAAAUUACAUUUAGGAUACUCAUAUCAAAGUAUUGAUUUUCUAAAGUCCUUGUAUAUAUUAUUAUCUCUAAUCUCUAUCACCUUUUCACACACGGUACAACAUGUGCUUCAUUUGAUGUGACUUUUCUAGAGCUUAUAUUAAGAGUAAUUUUUCUUAAUUACUAAUGCAUAUUUAAUUUAUUCAUUACUCCCAAGAACCUUUUUUUUUCAAUUAAAAGAAGCUUCGAAAGAAUCAUGAUAUUUAGCCUCCUAUUUUGUCUUACUUAAAUUUAUAAUAUAGGUUGAUAUUUCAUUGCUUACUUGCUAGUGAUUAUAAGUAUUCAUGAACAAUUGUUCCAAUUGGUGAUUUUCCUUUAUUAGCAUAUUAUAAAGGGGAGAAAAAAGAGCUUUUAGUGACAAAAAAUUAAAUAAACUAAAUUGGAUAUCGCAGUUGGAGGAAAAUUAUGUUUUGUUCUUUUAUAAAAGGUAUGAUACAAAAACGUUUUCUUUAAUUUGACUUCGACGGUAUUUUAGGUCUUUACAUUUUGAAAUUGAAUAAGUAGAAAAUACAUAUUUGUAUAAAAUUAAACAAGUACAUAUAUGUAUUCUACGUGUCAAUCACUUGAGACGUGAUGUAAGACACUUGUAUUUAUUAGUUUAAUUUUAUAUGCUCAUCUACGCCUAAUAUUGAAGAAUAUGAAUAUGAGUUGAAUCUAAAUUAAGAGGUACGGUUUAUAUGUUAUGUAUUUAUAAAAACUUUGAGAACUUUAUUGAAGUGAAGAAGAUAUAGUUCCAUCACCAUGGGUCCAUGACAACUUGUAAAUGAAAAGAGCCAUUCUAUGUAAAGAGAUUAAGAAGUCCAAUUAUCAUUAUUAUUAUAAUGAAAAUAAAGGAUAAUAAUUAAAAAAAAGUGAAGAAAAGGACUUUUUUUUUCUUUUGGCGUUGGAGAUGUGGAGGAAUAAUAUCACCAUAAAUUGUGGAGUUAGCAAAUUUCUCUGUCUAUUCAAAUGAAUAAAGCAAAUAUUUCAAAAUUGAAAAAAUAAAAAAAGAAGAGAGGAGGGAAAUGAUUUGAUGAAGAUAAAGAAAAAGUGGUUUAAGGUAAAGCUACCCCACCAAUGCCUGAUCUUUUAUGAUCUUAACACAUUAGUAGAAAGACAAAAGAAAAAAGGUUUUGAAUUCUCUUUGACUAAGAUGGUGAAAUGUUAGUAUUAAUCACCAAAAAAAAAUUAAAAAAUUAACUCAUUUGUGAGAAAAACAUCCUUUCUAAUAGUGACAUAGUUAAACUAGAAUAAUUUCAUGACUUGACUAUUCUAGUAGAUGAAAUUCAAUUUUCAUACAUAAGAAAAAAAAUUACUAGUACUCUACAUUUACUUUCAAAUUGUUGAUCAUAAUUUUUUACUUUGAAAAGCUUUUAUCUUUUUCUGUUGGAGUUCUAUACGGUGUUCAGUAUUCAUAUUGAAGUUUGACUAUUUUAAAUUUGUGUAGAACCUUAUUUAGGAGGAUAUACUCUUUAUCGUGUAAUUUUUUAUAUUUAAUGUUCUAACGCAAGACCUCUGGUGAGAGUAGCCUUAUCCACUGCAGCAUACCUUUGGUUGUGAAAUUUUUUUUGUCUUGUUGGUACUAAAAGGAGUUCCAAAUGUCAUAAUUUCACCAACAAGGAUUAUGGUGGAGUAACAAGCUAAGUAUUUCAUAAUCCUUAACCAGAUGUCUUGGUUCGAAUCCCCUUGGAUAUGGAGUCACCUUUAUUAGAAAAUGUUUUAUUUCAAUGUGGAACUUCCUGGCGCGAAUCUAAAUGUAGUCAGAUUUGAAACUCAAUAGCAAACAAAAUAGAAAAGAAAAAACAACACUACAAAUGUAUAAAGUUUAGGGAGAUGAUAAGAAUAGAGUUGAAGAAUGUUAAAAUGUUUCACAAUGAUUAAUGAGCUGGUUGAAACUUUAUAUGCUUGAACAAUCAUUCACCGAAGCUACUUUUGAAAUAGAGUUAUACUCAACAUCUAUUUCUCACAAAUGACAAUAGGAAUACGACAAGAAAUAUGAAGAAGUUCAAAAGUCUUGAGAUGAGAUUCACGUUCCCAUCCAAAUAAAGUCUAGCAAGAAACAAUGUACAACAUGAAUCAAAUUAAAGGCAUAAUACAUGAACAUAAUCCUAAAGUUGGUAUUAAUAUGCAAUUAUGAUUUUUAAUUUUGGGUGUGCAUAAAUGGACGCUUAAAUUUGUAUAAAAUUAAAUAAAUAGACACAUUUAUCCUACAUAGCAUCUUACAUGACAAGUUUAUGUCCUAUGUGGACUCCUACGUGUAUUAUGUCAUGUAUGACACAUAUAUCUACUUGUUCAAUUUUAUACAAGUUUAUGUAUCUACUUGUGUACACUCAAAAUCGGAGGACGUAGUUAUCCAUUGAAACCAAGUUCAAGGUCAUAUUUAUAUACUAUGCCAAAAAUAAAUAGUUAGAUGCACACGGUCGACAUGUAAAUUCGCGUGACAUACACUAAUUUGUAUUAUGUCGCAUAAGACAUAUAUGUCUGCUUGUUCAACUAUAUACAAAUUAAGUAUUUACUUAUUCAUACUCAAAAUUGAAAGGCAUAAACGACAAUCGAAGCCCGGUUAAAGAGUAUUAUGCCUAACUAUGAAUUAUUGGUCAAUGUACCUACUCAUUUGGUUUCUAAUCCCUUGAUUAAUGUUCCUUGUUCUGUUCUCAAAAUUGACUUCAAUAAUUUUUGCCCAACUUGAUGAUUGUUAGGUGUGAAAACAAACGAAAGCUAAUCUGAUAUCUUUAGAUUUAGAUUAAACGUAACGUAUGUCUACACCUGCUAAUAAUUAUUCCGAUCACAUAAUUCCACAAAACAUUGUACAAUGCAUUUUACAAUAUGUUAAAUCACUAAGUGAUACAAUUAAAAAAUUAGUUCAUGAAAACAUAACUUACGAUGAGUCAUUCACCUAUUGAUUCUAUCCAUUAUUCAAUCUAGUGCAUUUAUAAAUAAGUUGGGUGAUUUGAACGAAAUAUGUAGUAUGAAUUGACUUAUGAGAAAUUUUAUCGAAUAUUUUUAAAAGAUCUUUUUUUCAUUUGCAUGUUGGUGUAUCGAGUAUAGUUGUCAUGGCAAUAGGAGGCUCUAUAGAAAUCAGUUAAUUAGCAUUCAUGUUUUAUGAUAUUAUGUAAAAUUGUUAUUCAUUUAAAUCGAUUACGAACUAAUCAAUAACCUGUAUAUGCACACCAGAUUAACAUAUUUAAAAAAAUAAGAUAAAAAGUUAUGUGAAUAUAUCAAAACGAACCACCCGGUAAAAAUCCCUAAAUUAAAUUUAGGGAAAUUUUUCAAAAUGUCAAUAUUUUAACAUUUAAGAGAGCUCAUUAGCAACACUUUCAAUAUUUAGUAAAAAUGUCAAAUUUUAAUUUGUUAUGUAUUUUAUUUAUGUUUUUAUUAUUUGUUUUUAUUUAAAGAAUAUAAUUAUUUAAUAACAAAAGGGAGAAAAUCAAGGGAGAGAAUAUUUCAAAUAAAAGAUAAGAGUCCGAAACUCAAAGGGUAAAAAAUAUUAACAAAAAUUCCAAAACGGUAUAUAAAAUUUUAUAUAAACCAAAACGGUAAAAUCGCUGCCGACGCAGCGAUUUACUUCAACUGAAAAAGUAAAAUCGCUGCUGAGGCAGCGAUUUUGCCAAAAAAAUUUUUUUUUAAUAAAAAAAUGAAAUCGCUGCUGAAGCAGCGAUUUCAAAAUGUUUCUUCUUACAAAUCGCUGCCAGGGUAGCGAUUUAACAUUAUUUUUUAAUUUUCUUUUUUUAAAAAAAAAAUAAGGUAUAUCGCUGCUCUGGCAGCGAUUUACGAAGAAAUUUUUUUUAAAAAAAAAAUCGCUGCCAGUGCAGCGAUUUAUAAAAAAAUAUAUAUAUAUUUUUUCCAAUAUAAAUCGCUGCUAGAGCAGCGAUUUACAAAAAAAAAAAUUAAUGUAAAUCGAUUUAUAUUAAAUUUUUUUUUUUAAAAAUCGCUGCUUAGGCAGCGAUUUAUUUAAAAAAAAAAAAUUUGUUAUUAAAUCGCUGAGCAAUUUUUUAAAUAAAAAAAAAUUAAAAAUGUUAACUUAUGUAUAUAAUUUAUAAGAAAAUAUACAUUAUUUUUAAAAAAUUAAAAAUAAGUAAAUAUAUUUUCUUUCUAAAAAAAAGAUAUUAUAUUGAAUUUAAAUUUAAAUAAUAUUUGAAUUCAAAUAAUUAAUUUAAAAUUAAAUGAGAAAAAUUAUUUAAUUUUUUUCUAAAACAAAAUUAUAUAUAUAUAUAUAUAUAUAUAUAUAUAUAUAUAUAUAUAUAUAUAUAUAUAUAUAUAUAUAUAUAUAUAAAGUGAAAAGGAUCACAUGACAAUAGUAAAAUUUGUUUUUUUAUCGUAAAUAGUUGAAGAAGUUCACAUGUAAAUAGUACAUGAGACUUUCAAUUCUAUAAAUUGAAACUUAUCCUUCAUAUUCAUAUUACUUUCAAUCUUCCAAUCUACCAACAAUUUUAGGUAAAAACAUUUGAAUAUUAUGGGAGAGUCUAGCCAAAAUUUCAGUCAUUUGAAUUGUUUCUCAUCGGAUUCAACUAAUUAGGUAAAUAAAGUAAUGUUUUCUUAUUUCUUAAAAAUUAUUUUUCUUAUAUGUAAUAUAUUUAUAUUAUUAUUUUUAUAGGUAUGAUCAAAUUCAAAAUGCAGUGAGUUAUUGUACACAAAUUGUAAAUAACAAUGUUAUGGGUGAUGAACGAGUUGGUGAGUUGCACAAUGAUGAACCUUCCGAGCAUGAAUUAACAGACAGUGAUGAUAUGUAUGACGACGAUGAUGAUAAUGUGGAUAAUGCACCUAAUGCAUCCAUUGAAAAUCAAAGUAUUAAUUAUCAUUCUACAGCGAUUCCAUACUUAGAUCACACUGACAAAAAUGCAGAAGAUUUUAUGUACACGAGAGAUGACGGUUCCAUUCGAACGGCACUUUGGAAUUCAAACAAUCCUAAACAUAUCCAGUCAGGUUCGAUUGUUGAAAACUAAAUAUUUUAUAGUUGUUUAUUUAUUUAUUUAUUGCAUGUUGAUUAAUUUAAUUUGUAUAUGCAACUAGGUAUGUUAUUUAUGAAUAAGAUGCAAAUGAAAUCUGCAGUAAGAGCAUAUAGUCUUGCUAUUAAAAAAGAAUUUCUUUGAGAUCAAUCCAAAAGUAAAAGUUGAAAAGUUAUUUGCAAGCGUCAUGAGUUAGGGUGUGAUUGGAUGAUUCAGUUUAGAGAGAUUUCAAGCGGUAUAUGGAAGACAGGAAAAAUGAUUGAACCGCAUACUUGUCUUACAGAUAACUAUAAGGAGGAUCAUUUCAAUUUGAAUGAUAACAUGAUUGCCACUUCAUUAAUACCAUAUGUUAUGCAAAAUCCGGACAUCGGCUGUUAUAGGAGACGACGCUCUUCUAAUUCCGGGGCACCUCCAAGAUACCUAUUAUGAUGUUCUUUCAAAAGGGUGUUCUAGCUGGCUUUUCAAAGACCUAUCUGAAUUUAUAGAAUUAACGCAGAAUCUCGUCUAACAACCACAAUAUGCACCACUUAGAAUUUUCUUUUAAGCAAAACAAAAGGUGAUCUACUAUUAAGCUAAGCAAAAGGUGAUCUACUAUGUAGUCUUCUUGACAUGACAUAUCAAGUAAAGAGGGCGAGGCUCCCAGCAAUGGGGGGAAAGGGGAGUGGGUAGGCGGGCU
rnacentral:lncRNA from 1 species